GGCUACCUGGCGCAAUGGUAGCGCGCUUGGCUUCGAUCGCCAGUGUGUACUAGGUCCCCUUACCAAGCGGUUGCAGGUUCGAGUCCUGCGGUGGUCA